AUCGAACGCUGGCGGCAGGCCUAACACAUGCAAGUCGAACGAGUGGCGGACGGGUGAGUAGUGUCUGGGCAACUGGCUGAUGGAGGGGGAUAACUACUGGAACCGGUAGCUAAUACCGCAUACCAUCAGAUGUGCCCAGAUGGGAUUAGCUAGUUGGUGGGGUAACGGCUCACCAAGGCGACGCUCCCUAGCUGGCCUGAGAGGAUGACCAGCCACACUGGAACUGAGACACGGUCCAGACUCCUACGGGAGGCAGCAGUGGGGAAUAUUGGACAAUGGGCGCAAGCCUGAUGCAGCCAUGCCGCGUGUAUGAAGAAGGCCUUCGGGUUGUAAAGUACUGUCAGCGGGGAGGCGUUACCCGCAGAAGAAGCACCGGCUAACUCCGUGCCAGCAGCCGCGGUAAUUC
rnacentral:rRNA from 1 species